ACGUAGGGUGCGAGCGUUAAUCGGAAUUACUGGGCGUAAAGCGUGCGCAGGCGGUUUGAUAAGCCAGAUGUGAAAUCCCCGGGCUUAACCUGGGAACUGCAUUUGGAACUGUCAGACUAGAGUAUAGCAGAGGGGGGUAGAAUUCCACGUGUAGCAGUGAAAUGCGUAGAGAUGUGGAGGAAUACCAAUGGCGAAGGCAGCCCCCUGGGUUAAUACUGACGCUCAUGCACGAAAGCGUGGGGAGCAAACAGGAUUAGAUACCCUGGUAGUCCACGCCCUAAACGAUGUCAACUAGGUGUUGGGGAAGGAGACUUCUUUAGUACCGCAGCUAACGCGUGAAGUUGACCGCCUGGGGAGUACGGUCGCAAGAUUA
rnacentral:rRNA from 1 species